UAGUGAUGAGUCAGGACUUGAAGCCC
rnacentral:piRNA from 1 species